CUGACACAGGGAGGUAGUGACAAUAAAUAACAAUGCCGGGCCUUUACAGGUCUGGCAAUUGGAAUGAGAACAAUUUAAAUCCCUUAUCGAGUAUCAAUUGGAGGGCAAGUCUGGUGCCAGCAGCCGCGGUAAUUCCAGCUCCAAUAGCGUAUAUUAAAGUUGUUGCAGUUAAAAAGCUCGUAGUUGGAUUUCUGGCAGGGGUGAACGGCCACACACAAUGUGUGUGAGCUUGUUUAUCUCGCCAUCCUUGGGGAGAUUUUGCUUGGCAUUAAGUUGUCGGGUAAAGGAUACCCAUCGUUUACUGUGAAAAAAUUGAGUGUUUAAA
rnacentral:rRNA from 1 species